UGGGGAAUCAUGGUCAAUGGGCGAAAGCCUGAACCUGCGACGCCGCGUGAGUGAUGAAGGUCGUAAGAUCGUAAAACUCUUUUCAGGGACAUUAAAGCUCCGGCUCUAACAUAGCCUGGAGUCUGACUAUCCCUGGAAUAAGCCCCAGCCAACUACGUGCCAGCAGCUGCGGUAAUACGUAGGGGGCGAGCGUUAUUCGGAAUUACUGGGUGUAAAGGGUAUGUAGGCGGCCUGACAAGUCGCGUGUCAAAGUCCAGCGCUUAACGCUGGGUUCGCACGCGAUACUGUCUGGCUAGAGGGCUGGAGAGGUGAGCGGAAUUCCCGGUGUAGUGGUAAAAUACGUAGAUAUCGGGAGGAACACCAGCGGCGUAGGCGGCUCACUAGACAGUUUCUGACGCUAAGAUACGAAAGCGUGGGGAGCAAACAGGAUUAGAUACCCUGGUAGUCCACGCCCUAAACGAUGGAUACUUGGUGUUGGGGGGUUACCUUCAGUGCCGGAGCUAACGCGUUAAGUAUCCCACCUG
rnacentral:rRNA from 1 species